UACGUAGGGUGCAAGCGUUGUCCGGAAUUAUUGGGCGUAAAGAGCUCGUAGGCGGUUUGUCGCGUCUGCUGUGAAAACUCAGGGCUUAACUCUGAGCUUGCAGUGGGUACGGGCAGACUAGAGUGCGGUAGGGGAGACUGGAAUUCCUGGUGUAGCGGUGAAAUGCGCAGAUAUCAGGAGGAACACCAAUGGCGAAGGCAGCUCGCUGGGACGGUACUGACGCUGAGGCGCGAAAGCGUGGGGAGCAAACAGG
rnacentral:rRNA from 1 species